rnacentral:rRNA from 1 species
CAAGGAGUGUGUAACAACUCACCUGCCGAAUGAAUUAGCCCUGAAAAUGGAUGGCGCUUAAGCGGGCGACCGACACCAUGCCGUCUGGUAAAGAGACAUGAUCAGAUGAGUAGGAGGACGUGGCGGGUGUGUCGAAGCAUGCGUGCAGACGCGUGUGGAACAGCCGCUAGUGCAGAUCUUGGUGGUAGUAGCAAAUAUUCAAGCGAGAUCCUUGAAGGGCGAAGCGGGGAAGGGUUCCACGCGAACAUUGAUUGGGCGUGGGUGAGUCGUUCCUAAGCCGAGUGGCAAUUGCUAAGUAGCGGCGAAAGGGAAGCAGGUUGACAUUCCUGCACACGGAUGUGGAGGCGGUGACGCUUUAAUGAGGGCGAACACGCCGGCGAUGGCGCUGGGCAGAGUUUUCUUUUCUGUUUGACCGCUUAAAAGUACGCGGUGUGGAAUCCGCUUGUCGGGAGAAACACGCGUGUUGGGGCAGAGCGCCGGGGCUAUUCCGGCGUCCAGCUCGCCAUCGACGGCCCUUGAAACUUUGCCUGCUGGUAUAUAUGAUUUUAUUGUAUGAAGAUCCACGCCGUGGCGUACCGAUCACCGCAUCAGGUCCCCAAGGUGAACAGCCUCUGCUCGAUAUGAACAAUGCAGGUAAGGGAAGUCGGCAAAUUGGACCCGUAACUUUGGGAAAAGGGUUGGCUCUAGUGCUGCGUGGGAGUGGUUGUCGGGUGUUGGCGUUUCUGGACUUGCUGAGCGAGCGCGUUUCUUCGGUUUGUUUCGGCAGGCUGUUGAUUUGUGUUUAAUUGGCGAGUCUGGAUGCGGCACGCUCGACGACGCCCACAGCAUGCAGCAGACUAGAACUGCAACGGGCAAAGGGAAUCCGACUGUUUAAUUAAAA